AUACAUUUCCCUAUAACUAUAUUUCCACCUUUACUUGUCCUGUAACCCUAAUUAAUGUCUAGUUCAACCUUGUAUUGAAAACUAAUAUAACGCUAUACUCACGACCACUACACCCACUCAGGUCUGUAGGAAUACCUCAUUUUGCGAACAAUACAAUCCCAGACUGAGACAACAGGAGACAACAGAAGAGAAAAAUGGUAAGCACUCACAGACCCAUCCCUAGGCUGCAUUCUUCCUAAUUUCCCAGAACCCUUGCAUUUCCCCAUUCUGUAAACACCAGAAGAAUCAGUAAAGUUAUGAAAAUUGCAGAAGCUACAAUUCAGU
rnacentral:lncRNA from 1 species